rnacentral:rRNA from 1 species
AUUGAACGCUGGCGGCAGGCCUAACACAUGCAAGUCGAGCGGGGACUUCGGUCCUAGCGGCGAACGGGUGAGUAAUGCUUGGGAAUCUGCCCAGUAGUGGGGGAUAACGUCCCGAAAGGGACGCUAAUACCGCAUACGUCCUACGGGAGAAAGAGGGGGAUCUUCGGACCUCUCGCUAUUGGAUGAGCCCAAGUCGGAUUAGCUAGUUGGUAGGGUAAUGGCCUACCAAGGCGACGAUCCGUAGCUGGUCUGAGAGGAUGAUCAGCCACACUGGAACUGAGAAACGGUCCAGACUCCUACGGGAGGCAGCAGGGGGGAAUUUUGGACAAUGGGCGAAAGCCUGAUCCAGCCAUGCCGGGGGGGUGAAGAAGGCCUUCGGGUUGUAAAGCCAUUUAAGGGGGGGGGAAGGUUCGCGGCCUAAUACGUCGCGGAAUUGACGUUACCCGAAGAAUAAACCCCGGCUAACUCUGG